rnacentral:ncRNA from 1 species
UUGUUAGCUAGCAAUCCCAUCGCUAAGGAGAAGCAUGGGCUCACGGGCUAUACCUGUGAUGUAAAACCCACAUACUAUACUACAUUGCACUGUGUACUAGUAUGGAUAGGGCACUAAUCUUUACUCUAUUUAGUGCAAAACUAUAAUUUCUCGUACAACAUAAAAUGUGAAGAAAAGUUAUAGUUAGAUUCAAGCAGGAGGAAGUAUACAAAUGUUUGAACCCUCUUUUACUAAAAUCCUGAUACUUCGGGUGUGUGGAUGUGCAAAUCCAUACUAUAUUAUUUAUUGCCAGUAAUGGCUGUUAGG